ensembl:lncRNA
AUCAGCAGGCCCAGAUAACUUGCAUCCCAAAGUUUUAAAAGAGCUGGCUGAAGAGCUUUCUGGACCAUUAAUAUUGUGUUUUCAAUAAGACUUAGAACACUGGGGAAGUUACAGAGGACUGGAAGAAAGCUAAUGUGGUGCCAAUAUUUAAAAAGGAUAAAUGGGAUAUGACCCAGGUAGUCAUAACCCUGACUGCUUGAUGUCGAUCCUGGGCAAAAUAACACAACAGUUCAUAUGGGACUUGAUUAAUAGAGAAUUAAAAUGAGGAUAAAAAAUAAUGCAAAUCAACAUGGGUUUAUGGAAAAUUGAUCUUGUCAAACUAACUUGAUAUCUUUUUUUAUGGGAUUACAAGAUUGGAUGAUAAAAGUAAUAGUGUUGAUAUAAAAUAGUAAGACUUCUGUAAGGUAUUUGAAUUGGUACUGCAUGGCAUUUUGAUUAAGAAACAAGAACAAUACAGAAUCCACAUGGUGCACAUUAAAUUGAUUAAAAACUGGCUAAGUGUUAGGUCUCAAAAUAUAAUUGCAAAUGGGAAAUCAUCAUUAAGGGUAUGUGAUUCUAAGGGUGUCCCACAGGGAUCACUUCUUGUCCCUACAUUAUUUAUCAGUGAUUUUAUGUUUCCUUCCAGGUCAUUAAUAAACAUGUUAAAGUUUGCAGAUGACACAAAGAUUGGGAGAGUGGUAAAUAAUGAAGAAGGCAGGUCACUGAAGCAGAGCGAUCUGGAUCUCUUGGUAAACAUAGACGAAGGAAGGAUAAAUUGACAAAAACUCGAUCACGUUAACAAAUAUAUGUAAAAAUACCAAACAAAUCCUAACUGAACAUCACAUUCCAGACCCUCUCUGCAGCCCUAAACAGCCUGAAAUGCACAAGGGUAAAGAGAGUAAAGGGCCUCUAGUAAUUCCAAAAUCCAGUCUCCUGUGAUUACCGGCCAACCUUUAAACAAAAUGCCUUCACACACUGUCAACCGUAACUGUAAUUCCAUUGUCUUUACAUGCUGGCCAUUGAGCUCCCAGUUGAGAAAACAGUCAAGCAGAACACAGUGUGUAAUACAGAAAUCUAGAGGAGACAAAGAGAAAGUCCAUCAGGGAGAGAGAAAUAUUGUUCAGUACAGAUCACCAAGCAAAAUCUACACAAAUUCCAGAAGAUAAGAAUUGUUAAUAAUUUCCUCCUCUGAGUGGUCGGCCCUGGCCUCUUCUGCAACCUCUUGUUCCCAUGAAGAUAACAUUUUUGAAUUAAAAAAAUCUUGGCACCAUUCAUGUAUAUCCAUAUAUAUAUGAUAUAAACUAUUGCAGAGUUUCCCUGGAUAAAACACUGGAACAUUUCCAUCCCUGUGCUAGAAAUCUUUGACUUUAGACAAUCAAAUUUCUAUUAUCUAUGAUGGGUUGUAUGGGACAUUUGAGGAAAUAUGGACAUGUCUGAAAAGUUAAACUUUCUGCAUUUUCUUUCAAGUAAACUCCAAGCUCUGUCUCCAACAGACAUACCUACAGUACUAAGUGUUCUUGGGAUCGGAAAGUGAACCAUUAAUUCCACCACACAGCAAACACCUGCAGCUGCUCCUGUAAUCCAAAAUACUGGUUAAGGUCCAUCACAUUUUUUUCUUUUAAGGAUCUGAUUAAGCUCCCAGUGGGGGCUAAAUCAAGCCCUAAAAUAGUAUCUGGACCUUCCAGAGGAUUCCAUGCCAUUUAAACUUUUUU